AGCAGGGGUGGAAGCUUCCUGCUAAAUACUGUGCAGGCAGGUCUGUGUGAUUUCUUCAAGUUCUUUGACCUACUUGUGUGGUGUCAUCAGCUAUAGGAUCUUACCAUCACAUUCUAAUGGGUAUUCCUGAGCAAUGAGAAUUGACAACUCUGGUAUCAUCUCUGUGACAUCCUCGACCAACAACUUGAGAGCAAGGUGUCCUACAUCUAUCUCUGGACUUUUUGAGAACUUAUAGCCAAUGGAAGGAGAAUUACCCACCUUGUAACGUUCGUUCUGAACACUUUCCAGGCCGUUCUGGCAUCCGAUGAAUGUGAUUCCUAUGCCCUCUUUCUCUAUCCUGCCAAUGGUCUUCAGUUUUUGGAACUCACCCCAAAGAAUCCUACAGUGUCCAGCUGCAGCUUCCUGCUAAGGUGGGAUUCUGCCAAGGGGAAGCAGAUGACAUGAAGAGAAAAGCCCUGUAUUUCAGCCUUACUAACAGUGAGCAGUUGGUGAAGAAUCUCUACCAGACAUGGAGACUUCGAUGAUUUUAAUCUGGAGGAUGCGCUGAAAGAAACUUCCUCAGUAAAGCGUGACUCAAACAAACAAGUCCACCAAGCAAACACAAGUGGUCGGCCAUGCACCACACUGACAAUCUUGCCUUCAGAAAAGUACACGCAUAUGAGACUAGCUGUGCCUCCAUCUACCUGUUUGUUCUGUUGUGCAAGGCUUGUGUCGUUUUGUCAUACGUGUGUC
ensembl:lncRNA